rnacentral:rRNA from 1 species
UACGGGGGGGGCAAGCGUUGUUCGGAAUUACUGGGCGUAAAGGGCUCGUAGGUGGCCAACUAAGUCAGACGUGAAAUCCCUCAGCUUAACUGGGGAACUGCGUCUGAUACUGGGUGGCUUGAGUGCAGGAGAGGAAUGCGGAAUUCCAGGUGUAGCGGUGGAAAUGCGUAGAUAUCUGGAGGAACACCGGUGGCGAAGGCGGCAGUUCUGGACUGUAACUGACACUGAGGAACGAAAGCCAGGGGAGCAACGGG